GGAGGGUGCAAGCGUUAAUCGGAAUUACUGGGCGUAAAGGGUGCGUAGGUGGUUAGUUAAGUUAUCUGUGAAAUUCCCGGGCUUAACCUGGGGGGGUCAGAUGAUACUGAUUGACUUGAGUAUGGUAGAGGGUAGUGGAAUUUCCGGUGUAGCGGUGAAAUGCGUAGAUAUCGGAAGGAACACCAGUGGCGAAGGCGACUGCCUGGGCCAAUACUGACACUGAGGCACGAAAGCGUGGGGAGCAAACAGGAUUAGAUACCCUGGUAGUCCACGCUGUAAACGAUGUCAACUAGCCCGUUGGUCACAUGAAUGUGAUAAGUGGCGCAGCUAACGCGAUAAGUUGACCGCCUGGGAGUACGGUCGCAAGAUUA
rnacentral:rRNA from 1 species